UACGGGGGGAGCAAGCGUUGUCCGGAAUCAUUGGGCGUAAAGCGCGUGUAGGCGGUCCGGUAAGUCGGCUGUGAAAGUCCAGGGCUCAACCCUGGGAUGCCGGUCGAUACUGCCGGACUAGAGUUCGGAAGAGGCGAGUGGAAUUCCCGGUGUAGCGGUGAAAUGCGCAGAUAUCGGGAGGAACACCAAUGGCGAAGGCAGCUCGCUGGGACGUUACUGACGCUGAGACGGCGAAAAGCGGUUGGGGAGACCAAACAGGG
rnacentral:rRNA from 1 species